CUGGACGUCUAAAAAAAAAAAGAACCCACAACGAUGGCAUCUACAUCUCACUUUCCACAGCGGUGCCCUUCCUCUGAAGGCUGGAGAAUUCAGCCCUCUAUCUGAUGUAUUCAGAUCCAACCUGCAGCGACAGACUCGCAGUGUGAGUCCAGAGGUGUCCAAAGUGCGGCCCGGGGGCCAUUUCCUGCCCGUUCCUCGUCACUCUUCAUGCAGCCCCAGCUGAUUUCUCCAAGGCUCUCCCAGGACGCCCUGAAGGUGGCUUUGAUGCCGAGACGGCUGGUGAAACGUUGAAGCCAUUGACGGAGGUGACUGACACCUGAGUGUGACGUCUCUGAGGACGAAGCUGAACUGAGACGGCUUCUCAAAGCAGCCGACUGACAGAAUARAGGGGAGAUAAAAACACAGACGGUCUGCAUACCUGGGCAGCAGCAGCAGAUGAACUGAGCCAAAGAUGGCUGCAGCAGCAGACGCUACCUGCAGAUGAAGCGUUUUAAAUCCAGUCAGCUGCCAACGGGUCCAACCAGCUUGUCACGGUGGUGGCAACAAGUGAAGCCUUGAAUUUCUGACUUUGGCAAUGCGAGAGCGGGAGACGAUGAARACGCUCUGAAUUCUUUUAAUCUCCUUGGAAAGCAGCAAGGAGAUGAGAAAAGAAGGACGAGAUUAUCGAAAUGCUCCGUUUUGUCAUUUUGGACAGACCCUUCUGGAAGCCAACUCAAGUUUCUGGUUUACUAAGACUUUAAUCAAACAAACCCAGUUACUUUAGCACAGAGGAUGGUUUCUCCGUGUAAACCAUUUAUUCCCUCU